ACUCUGUUGCCCGGCACUGGUGGUUCGCAGGGUUCCAGUCCCACUGGACUGUCUAUAUCGGCCUACUGUAAAAGGUGCUGCCUGAGGAUCUGGCUCCCAGUCAGCCUGACUCUAGGUGCUGAGAUCCUCCCCAUUGGCACACUGACAGGCUUUGGUACAUUCUCAACUCCUGGAAGCUAUUAAAAAUAAAAUGGGCUGCUCCGACAAUCACAGGGGUUUGAGAGACAACCAAGAGCUAGGGCAAGGUUGAACAGUAAUGUUCAUCUCUUACAUGAGGCCACCACUUCCACACGGGAAGACGUGGACAUUUUAUCUAAUGCCUAGAAACCAACACAGUCAAGCCAAAUGAAGAGAGAGAGAAAUAUGUUCCAACAGAAAGAAUAAAGUAAGAUCUUAGAAAGAUCUCUUCCUCAUGAGGAUAGGCUACUAGGGACAGAAAAAUGUAUCAAUAGUCACCUGGAAAUUUCAAUAAAACCAUUUAGUGAUUUUUAUUUUUCUAACACCCGUAAGCUGACUGAAUCCUCUCCUCAUUGAUGCCAUCUCCAUCUCUGUGUUCCUGAAUGUGUAGAUGUAUAGAUGACUGGGUUUAGAAAAGGAGUUAAAGCUACAUCAAAUAUGGCUAGAAAUUCAUCCAGAUGUGUUGAAGGAGAGGGCCACACAUAGAAAAAAAUCAGUAGGCAAAAAAUAAAAUCAGGACAGUACAAUGAGCUCAUGAGAGAGUAAAGGGAGCCUUGGCUGAACCUCCAGAGGUGGCCAAGAUGAAGAUGUAAAAGGAUGAGCAAGAAGAAAGCAACCAAGGAAACAAACCUACGAUUAGCAGUGCCUGUGAACUUCAGUUAUAAGUGUCUGUGAAGGCAAGUUUGAUGAGCCAAGGUAUGUCACAGUAAAAGCUGGUCUAAUACAUUAAGGGCUACAGACAGGCAAGUUUACCACAGAAGCCAAUUGGCCCAAUGAGUGAAUGAGACCAAUGGUCUAGGCAACCACUAAAAUCAAAAUGCACGUUCAUGGGUAGAGAGGCUUACAUAUGGCCCUAUAGCUGUCAAAGGCCAUGGCUAUGAGCAGCACAUCUUGUUGCCUUCAAAACGGCAUGGCUAAAGAAGACCCAAGCUGUAUAGUCCCCAAAGGAGAUGACUUUCCAUUUCUUAAAAAGAUCACAAAUCAUCCUGGGUACUGCAAUGGAGCAAGAUAUCAGAUCAGUGAUGGAGAAAUUGGCUAAGAGAAAACACAUGGGAAAAUGUAAGUAAGGGUCAGGGGUCACAGUAACCAUUAUGAGGACAUUUCCCAUUAGAUACAAAAGAGAAGGAAAGAAAAAAAGAAAAAAUAAGCUGGAUCUCCUUGGAAUUGGAGAGUUUCAGGAACGCAAGCUCCGACACCACAGAGUGGUUGGCUCUAUCCACUGGCUCAUAUGAGGCAAUUUGGACCCACAAAGACACCAAAGGUGUAAAUGCACAGAAGGACAACCACGGGAAGAGGCAUAAAGGAGGCAGCCAUCUACAAGCCAAAAAGAGAGGCCUCAGAUGAAACUCACCCUGCUGACACCUUGAUCUUGCACUUCAGCCUCCAGAACUAUGUUUGCUAAAUGUUUGCUAAAUACAUGAUCAUUGGGAUUUAUUUCGGCACAAAGUGUGAGGUAUGGAUACAAUUAGAUUUUUCUUGAAUUAUUUCCAUUGUUGACUAAUCUAUCUUUUCCUAAUUGAUUUGAACACUACCUUUAUCUAAUA